rnacentral:rRNA from 1 species
UGCAGUCGAACGAGCUUCCGUUGAAUGACGUGCUUGCACUGAUUUCAACAAUGAAGCGAGUGGCGAACUGGUGAGUAACACGUGGGAAAUCUGCCCAGAAGCAGGGGAUAACACUUGGAAACAGGUGCUAAUACCGUAUAACAACAAAAUCCGCAUGGAUUUUGUUUGAAAGGUGGCUUCGGCUAUCACUUCUGGAUGAUCCCGCGGCGUAUUAGUUAGUUGGUGAGGUAAAGGCCCACCAAGACGAUGAUACGUAGCCGACCUGAGAGGGUAAUCGGCCACAUUGGGACUGAGACACGGCCCAAACUCCUACGGGAGGCAGCAGUAGGGAAUCUUCCACAAUGGACGAAAGUCUGAUGGAGCAAUGCCGCGUGAGUGAAGAAGGGUUUCGGCUCGUAAAACUCUGUUGUUAAAGAAGAACACCUUUGAGAGUAACUGUUCAAGGGUUGACGGUAUUUAACCAGAAAGCCACGGCUAACUACGUGCCAGCAGCCGCGGUAAUACGUAGGUGGCAAGCGUUGUCCGGAUUUAUUGGGCGUAAAGCGAGCGCAGGCGGUUUUUUAAGUCUGAUGUGAAAGCCUUCGGCUUAACCGGAGAAGUGCAUCGGAAACUGGGAGACUUGAGUGCAGAAGAGGACAGUGGAACUCCAUGUGUAGCGGUGGAAUGCGUAGAUAUAUGGAAGAACACCAGUGGCGAAGGCGGCUGUCUAGUCUGUAACUGACGCUGAGGCUCGAAAGCAUGGGUAGCGAACAGGAUUAGAUACCCUGGUAGUCCAUGCCGUAAACGAUGAGUGCUAAGUGGUUGGAAGGGUUUCCGCCCUUCAGUGCUGCAGCUAACGCAUUAAGCACUCCGCCCGGGGGAGUACGACCGCAAGGUUGAAACUCAAAGGAAUUGACGGGGGCCCGCACAAGCGGUGGAGCAUGUGGUUUAAUUCGAAGCUACGCGAAGAACCUUACCAGGUCUUGACAUCUUCUGCCAAUCUUAGGAGAUAAGACGUUCCCUUCGGGGACAGAAUGACAGGUGGUGCAUGGUUGUCGUCAGCUCGUGUCGUGAGAUGUUUGGGUUAAGU